UGAUUGCUAAAUGUAUAUUUAAAACGUAUUUCAAUAUCAUUUUGAAGCUUAUCAUUAGCACAAGCACUUCACGGGCUAAUUCUCUAUACCCAAAGACAAGCAUUACCUCCAGCUUACGUUUGCUGCUGGAAAUGAGAUAUCGGAUGUGAAUGAGUGACUGGGGCUCCUUGCCCCACCACGGAGAUCCGUCCUGGGCCAAAGCUGUCACCUGAGGCUCAGCCCAAGGCAUGGGGGAGGACUGCCUCCAGGAGAUGCAUGCAGAAGUCUCAGGGGGUAUCGCAGAGCACUUUUUGUUUGUAGAGCUCCAUCUGACUGCACGGCCCUGCCAUUGCCCUGUGCUGGCCAAGGGAGGAGGUGGGAUGCAGGGGUGUCGGUAUGCCGGGUGGGAGCCUCGCUGCUGCCCGUAGUGGUGCAAAAUUAAGUGGAUUGUGAAAUGGAGCCACAAGAGGAAGGAUGCUGACAGCCCUUCAUUACACUUUGCAUCACGCCGUUAGAUUUUAAUCACAGUGCUUCAGAUCAGAAUCGCAAAUCCUCUUAUCUGCCGUAAGAGCUUCUUUCAAGCUUAGCGUUUUUAUGCCCCAUGUAAGAUGCAACAAUAUUCAUCUCCGCUAGUCAAGCUUAGAAAUGCAUUAAACUGCCCAACCAGAAAAUCGGGAACAGGCAUUUAGUGAUGCAAAAUGGUCAUUCUGCAACCUAAUGCCUAGGGGACAGAUCAGUCAUCGCAGCCCCCUCCUGCCUGAAAGGACCAAUUAGAUGGCUCUGCCUAUUCAACUAUCAAUGCAGGAUUGCUCCCAACAGGAUAUUCCCCUGUGCUUUCCCCAGUCUAAUUUUAAAUUAUUCAAGCGCCCAGACUUCUAUUGCCUCCCUGGGGUGACCAUUACACAACUGAAGGUCUCACGGUGAGGAAAUGUUUCCUGAUAUUCUGUCACAAUUUUCCUAUGCUCAGCCUCAUCCCGUUUUACAUAGUUACACAUUCUUGAACAGCUCUGACUUCUUUGGUUGCUGUGCUGCUGCAUAAUACAAAGCCAGCUAGCUCUUCUUGCUCUAUUUUUGGCACGAUCCUUCCUGCUGGGCAUUGAGCAUUCGGAGGACAUCCAGACGUCUCACGGUGCUGCUCCGGACCCGCAGUGCCCACAUCACCCAAACAAAGCCCUGGGAGAGGAACUGCUGCCUGCGUACAUCCUCUGAGGAAGGAUGACAGGGGCUAAACAAAGAGGAGACGAGGAAAAAAAAUCAACCUGAGGUUCUAUGUGCUGCUGUGGGAAGAGGAAUUAGCUACUCGCAUGCGUGUCCACUACCAGUGAAUAACCAGGAUGAACCUCCUUGAAAGGAAAGCUCACGGCCUGCUCUAUGUGUGAGGGUUUGGUGAGCAGCAAGCGCUGGAGCCCAGUUUGUUGGGGCUGUUGGGGCACAAGGGUAUGGCACUGAGCUGCGAAUGGGACCUGGCCGCAUCUUUCAGCAGGAUGCCUGUCGCUGGCAUCUGGGCAGGACGGAGGUCUGCUCCCCACCACUGUGCUCAGUAAAGAGCAGCUACAUUGUGUGGCUGCUCCUCGAGUCUGAGCCAACAUCACCUGCAUUUUGGGUCCGGUGCCUUUGGGAGGAGUUAUCCCAAGGUCAUCGCGGGACCUUUCAGCUCAGUCUCGGUCACAUUUUCUCUUCUGAUUCUCGGUCAGAUUUCUUUUCUGAUUCUCCCCCCACACAGUGAGUGUUGUGUAGUCAAACCCUUCAUCCGUUUUAUCAGACAGGCAGAACUGGGAGUCUGAUAUCUUUUAAAAAAAGGUACAGCUCUCUGAUUAACUGAAGAGUAAUAGCAUGAAAUCCUAGUCUCCAAUAAGUAACAUAUUGAUGCUUAUGUCUAAUUUAAUCAGCAUCAGGGGGGACGGGGGUGCCCAUUCCUUCACCAUCAGUUAUGCAGCAGUUCAAGGUGAUAAAUCCUAUCUGUGGAAUGAUAUUCCGUCGACAUUUCUAUAAUAUUAAUUAGAUCACCGUGUCAGGCUGUAGGAAAUUUGCUUAACAUUCAUUAGAAAUUUCGUAUAGAUAGAUGAGCAUCCCUCCCUCCCUCUGCUCCCGCUUUCUUUCUCCUGUGAUUGACAGAGGAGGUCAAGCUGGAGACAGUCCCCCGCCCCUCAGAGUCUGGGGAGCCGGGUCACCGGACUCCAUCACGCGUGGAGCGGAGGGAGGGCUGUGCCUGGAAGAGAUAUCCUAUGAAAUGGGACAAAGGCUCAUCUGCCUCGGGCCCCGUUGUUGGCUCUCCCGGCCUGCAGCCAGCAUGCAGGACGCGGGCGAGCGCGCGCCGUGAAAGCCAUUUGCAUUACCCCGCAGUCAUUUUUAUACGUGGAGGUAAUGAAGUUGUCAGCGGAGCCCUGAGUGUGGCAGAGCCUGAUAUUCAAAUAGACCUGCCAGCGCUCCCCUCGGCUCCCCCCGUCCCCGCAGCUGAUCUACCGACUCCCUGGAUUACUGCUUCGCUGGCUCCCGGGCCCCUGCUGUGCUUGCACUCUUGCCCCCGUCAAGUGCUUUUGUUUCCGAGCUGGGGAGCACGCAGCUGUGGCUGCACCAUGCAUCUGAGCAUGGAGAGAGCGACAAGCAUCCCACCCACGGCAUGCCUCAUCUGUGCUGGGUUUGCAGGGAGAGCCCCCCAGAACACUGCACUAGUCCCAGGCUGGGAGCCUGGGUGGUUUGUUAUAGUCAAAAGGAGGAGGAGGGCUUCAGAUUUAGGUGGAUAUUCUAUGUGAGGUGGAGGUGACAGGUUCAUAUCUUGCGCAUGUGCUGUGCCCCUUUUGCUGAGCACUGCACAGCUGGGAGGGAUGCGGCAGCCAAGCAGUGUGUGGCUCGAGCUCACCGGUGGUGAGAGGGUGUUGGCAAAGGGCAACACAGACAUACCUCAUUCUCACAAAAGAAACCACAGGGUCAUAAAUAACAAGGCAGGUCAGACUGGCCUUCGGUAAUUUUUAAGUCGAUUUUGGAAAGAAGAAAAAUUCCCCGUGGCAAAGCUGCCUGGUAAGCAAAAGGCCUGAUUCAACCCCAUUAGCCUUGGAAACUAGUUUUUACUAAAUAUGGGACUAGGCUGUCAGCUGCUGUUCGUUGGCAUGAACCCGCUGAAGUCAAUGGAAUGACAGUGAUUUAUACCGGGCUGAAGACGGUAGGAUGGAUAUCUAAAAGAAGGGCUGUCUUUUUCUGCCUUCAGGAACUGGACCUGCUCGGGGUUGCAACACCGUAGGAGCAGAUGUUGGCUUUUUGACUUGAUGUGCAGAUGUCAUUAGGUAGGUAGGCAUCUGCAGGUUCUCAGAUGUGCGUAGUGAAACUGAAGGCCACUAAAAAAUUCAUCACCCGGGUAAAUAUCUAGCUGCCACAAUUUUCUUAUUUUUGGAGGACCAACUCAUUCAUUAUUUGCAGAAAAGGAUACUUUCUGUGCUCUUAUGAAAAUGAUCAAUGAUCCUUUAGCACAGAAGGCCCGUGGGAUUAAUUUCUUUUGUAAGCAGCAUGUUAAAAAGACUGGCUCAGGCAUUUUUUGAAAGCUUGCAGGAGGGUCACAAAUACACAGCUUUCCACCGCAGCUUUUUUUGGCCUUUGUUCUUACAAUGAGAUUUUGAAAGAUUCCCAAGAACUCCAGCAAGCUAUGGAUGUUCAUGGCAUGAUACAUCUUCGUGCCAUUGGAAUUUGUAUGCCUUCUUUUUAGAGCAAAUGGAAAUUAAGGAAGUGAACUUUGUGUCUACAGCACGACAGUUACUCUACAAGUAUUUUUAGUCUUCAGGGCCACUCUUAAUGAACCAACCUGCAGACUAAAGACUCCCUGAGUAUGAAUUGGCACGAUGCACUGUGAAUGAUUCACAAAUGGAGGAGUCCCUAAGUGUGCGCUGACUCGCUACACCAUAACAUCUCCUACAGAGAUUUUACAGCAUCAUAUGCCAAUGAUCCAUGCAUUAAGGACUCCCUAAAUGCACAUUGACACAAUAGACUGGAGCUGUUUUGGUCUAGCGUGUCAAUGAUCCAAGGAUAAUGACAGUGUCUUAUGCAGAUCCGCUGAGACCAGAAUUGUUGUGGUUCUUAAUGGAAGAACCCAAAUUGUCCCACUUCAGUUGUAUUUGCCUUUUUUGGGUGCUACGGGAACACGGGCAGCCUUCCCAUCCUUCAUGGAGGAAUGUGUUCAGUGGUGCAGUUCUGUAGACUGGGUGGUUUCUGUCUGUGUAGGCACACACGUAUACAGAUUUAUGUAACAACAGUGGACAUAUGCACUUUUAUCUUUCUCCAUACAAAGUUCACACACACAGCAAAAUGUCACACCAAAAUGUUGUCACUGUCACCUAGGACACCAAGAGUCAAACUGAAGAAGAGUCAUUCCAGAUACAGAGUGGUUUAUGCAAAAGAGAAAAGCUCUCUACUACCGGGCAGGAUGGGAAGGGAUGGGAGGGAGGGGGGAUGAAGAGGAGGAUGAGAACAAAUGCAGACCCAAACCAUAAUAAUGCCUAUUUACUCUGUGACUUGCUUUUCCAAAAAUGCCCCUCCAACAGUUGCAGCCCUCCUCUUGUACAGAUGGGGAAGCUGGGACAAAAAGAGUUGAAAUGAUUUGUUAAACUCAUGACCAAUAUGCAGCUGAGACCAGAACGCAGACUUUUAUAAUGCGUCUCAACCCCAACAGCAAUUGUUUAGCAGGUUUAGGAGAAAACCACGUAGUCCUUGUACAGCAGUCGUGAAGUCUGUGAAGAGAAGAGGACUGGAAUGCCUUCAGAAACUGGUAAGAAAUUAAUAUGUAUGCUGUUUCUGCAGAAGGAAGUAUGGGCACAAUUUCACUGCACAGGAUUCACUUCAGACAAUGGUAAGAAUGACACCUUUAUCGUGGAACAUUGCUUCUAUAUUAUAUAAUUUCUCUGGUUUUUUUCUUCUGACUUUCAACAAGAGCUCUGCUGAUGUCUGUAGUGGAAUGAAAUUAGAGGGGGUACAUUAUAAAAUUAAGUGGGGUGAAAUUGGCACGGGACAAGAUUCUAAACAUCAACAAAUGCAUCUGAGAUUAGUUGACCAGCUAUUUGAAGGGUCUUACAACAAGCAUUCGCUAAAUGGCUAUCCAUCUAGAAACAUAACUUUUAGAGGAAGCUUUUUAAUGUUUCAGUGGGCCUCGCCACUGAAGUGUGUGACUGACACACCUGAAGCUGUGUCUGAAGUCACUAGAAGAUGCCAGGCUUCACAUAAAUUUCCAGAAUGGAGCCUAAGAACUAUUGCCAAAAUAAAUGAGUGGUAUUUGGGCAAUUCCACUUUUUUCAGGCUGUGGCCAUUCCCACUUCUCUCCUCACUUUUCCUGUAAGUGGAGGACCUAUGGAAAACUCACUGCAACAGCAAUUGCUACCUGCACAGCACUUGUCAUGCUGAUACACUUAGAGUGUGGGACUGAUGAAUUCUGUCAUGUGUAGGCAGACUUGUUUUUUGAGGUGGAAAAUAUGUUGGAGAGCUUGAUUUUUUAAUAAAUAAAGAUUAUGCUGAAAGGUUCCAGAAGAGGAGUGAGAGAGAAAACAAAAUUUCAAGAACAGAAUUUAAACUGGAGGCCCAUCAACACCCUCAGAGCUGUCUCAGAGGACACUCAUAAUACUCCUAAUAUGUUUAAUUGGAAAGAAUGCAUUUGACUGUGAUCAUGAUUUAAAUGAAUACAUUGUAUAUUGAUAACUGAUAGCACUGAUAACAUUGUACAUUGAUAACCUUUGGUGAAAGGCUGUUUAAGGUUGCAAUAUAUUGGCUUCUCGGGGCCACCGAAGUUCGUUAUAAAAAUUUCCAUUAUAAAAUACUACUUUCUAAAAUGUUUAACUUCCUUGACUUCUGACAGUCAAGAGAAAAAGUGUGUAUUAAGAAUACUAGGAAUAUAUAAAUCUUUGCAUAACUUUACCAUCAUAGAAAGCAAAAUCUGAACUCAUUUCAUCUUCAGAGGUAAAAUACAUGCUACUGAGAUCCAAAGAAAACUGAGAAAGAUCCAGAGAUCAUCACUGACUUUCAGGAACUUCAACUCAAUACAGCCUUUUCUGGUUAUAUUCCUGAAAUGACAAAAUUUAUGAAGUUUGCAAUUUUAUUGGACGGUAUCACCUUAUUUAUAGCACACAUAACACUACUUUAAUCAUGUUCAAAAGGAUCGGUAAUGUCUAAUCAAUUGCCAUAUUUCCUAAUGCAUGAGGUAAGAGUUUCCCUUUCCCAGGAUUUCACAAAUUGAUUUCCAAGAGCGAUCUGCUCCAGCCUCCCCAUUCCUAGAAGCUCCCCCUCCAUGAAGAUCUGACCAUUUUUAACGAGAAACAGAAAGUAUAGCAAACAUUCAAUACGUUAAUGAUUCAUUUCAAGAAGUGCAAAACAUAAAAAUUCUAAGCAGUUGUUCCACAAAUGUCUCUGUCUGCUGCAGAAAGUGAGCCUAUAGAUGAUAUUUGGUGCUAAGACAGUCAUAACUCCCUCAGCUGCUACUUGGAGAACGGAGAACAGCACAGCAGGAAAUUAGGGCACUGAGCCAUCUGUUUUGGGCUGCAGUUUGGAACUCAACACAGUCUGCAGAGGGCAGAAGUAAAGGGGACACUUUCUAAGGAAGUAUGGGAAUACGGAGGAUUAUGGAAGAACUGGGAAGUGUUACAAAAUAGGAAAAAAACAUUAGAAAAGCUCUUCACAAAAUCUCUUUGGCUGCCUCCAAAGAAACCCUUGAGUCAGACCAUCUCAGCUGACUGUUCAUGAUCAGACUGGUGUUUGGGGAUCCCAAACACUGGGCUGGUGUCUUUGUUGCAGUUAGGUAGGAAUUACUCAACCCAACUCCAUGAGACAAAUUGUGUAUUUCUUUAUUACUAUAGAAAACAUCCCAGCAUGUUACACAUGUACAUACUGUGAAUUCACUGAUCUUGAUAAUUUUAAAGCUUUUGCUGCUCUUACUUUUCUCCCACAAAUCUGAGCCCCAUUUUUAAUCAAGCACCAUCUUCAUACAUAAGCAUAUGUAUCAUGAAAUUGAAAUACAAAAAUAUAAACAAAACACACACAAGCACCAAAAAUCAGCAAAGCACUGCUGUUUUUCACCACUUCUGAGAUGGAGGGAAGCAUCCCCAAGCAUUAAGUCAUUAUUAGUUAAAACAGAUCCUCAAGAGGCUUAUUUUGAAGAGAUAAAGAAACAAGAACUCUGCUGCCCAAGGAGUCACUGUUAUUAAGUUCAGUAGGGCUAGGGUAAAACACAAAAAAUCAUUUCUGUUAAGAAAGAUGAAGAACAUGGUUAGUAGGAAAACAUAGCUCUACAUUUUCUCCCCAGGCAUCUGAAAUGUUUUCCUCUUUUUUUUUUUUUUUUUUUUUUGCUUUUUUUCCCCUUUAUUUCCUUUUCUUUCUUUCUUUCUUUUCCCUUUCUUUCUUCUCUCUUCUUUCUUUCUUUUUUUCUUUUUUCUUUUUUUAUUUUUCUUUCUUUCUUUUUCCUUUUUCUUUUUUCCUUUUUCUUUUUCCUUUUCCUUUUCUCUUUCUCUUUUUCUUCUUUUUCUUUUUUUUCUUUUUCUUUUUCCUUUCUUUUCCUUUUCCUUUCCUUUUCCUCUUCUUCUUUUUCUUCUUCUUUUCUUUUUUUUUCUUCUUUAUUCCCUUUUUCUUUCUUUUUCCUUCUCUUUUUCUUUUCCCUUCUCUUUCCCAUUUUCAUUUUCUUUUUCUUGAAAAAGAAAUUCAUCACUACCUCAGAAAUGCUCUUCUCAGAUUGUGAGACCCACUCUUCAGUGAGUAUCUGACGAAGAGAGGAGUCCGGUUUUGCUCCAAGAGACUGAAUAAAGCUCAUGAUGCCUUCUGGGAUAAUGCAAUAUGAGAUGCGUAGGAAGUUUGGUUAUCCACACAAGGGUGCCUAGUGCCAUUGCAGAUGUCCUUGGCCACUUGAGGGGUCUGUUCUGUCUGCUUGGCUAGAGCCACGCCCUUCUGGAGUGGCAGCUGAAGACAUCAGACCCUUUGGGUAACAGAAUCGCUCACAUAAGAACUGUACAUCCUGCUGCAAUCCUGGUGUUUUGCAUAUGUGAUUUACAGCUGUUCUAAAAACCUUAAAUGCCUGUGCACAUGCUUGAGAUAAAUAUACCCUAAAAAAUUUCUUCUUUUCUUCUUUUUCACACUUCCAGAUUUCUGACAUUUGCACUCCUAGCGUUUAAUUUUGAGGUGUAGGGAACCUGGCUUCUUUAUACAGAUGGAAAAUACACUCAACUUUUCCCUUAUGAAAUAUCUUUCAAACAUUAGCUGAAUAAUUUUUGUCCAUUUGACCAUCUGAGUAAUUACUUUAGAACGUCUUCUCCUGCAUUUCUUUGCUAGCAGUCAGACCUCUGUAGUAAAAUAUUAUGUUGAAAAUAUAUUUUAGAAGAAAGGUAUAUAAUCCUAUUAAUGGAUUUCUUUAAAUUCUCUAUAUGUGUUUUGCAAUGAAAUAAGCAUAUCCAUAGCAAUUUUUAAAGUUCUACUUCAGGAUUUAUGCACUCUUAAUGGAUGGAGAUUAUUUCUUUGUAUAAUAUAAAUAUCCCAAAGAUUUAAUGAAGCCAUAAAAACAUUCAUUAGACUUCUGUAAUUAGAAUUAUGGUUCCAAAAGCUUCGGUGUGCUAAAUAUACUUGCAAUAUUUCAUUGUUUUAAGUUUUCCGUAAACAACUUUCCUGUGGGGAAGAACUCAGAGCUGUGAGGGUGGAAUUAACAUCUGACUUGGUGAGAGGGCCUCCAGCACCACCGCCCCCUGAACUGGGCAAGCCACCUGUCGGACUACUUUUAUGGCGACCUGAUCCCCCAGGCCGCCUGCAGCCUGCUGAGGGCCUCUCCUCAGGAAGCUGCGCAGCUUGCCUCAAUUAAAUGUCAUCUCCAACUUGCAACAAGGCCUGAAGAUGGAUUCCUUCUUUCUUGGUGUGACGUUUACUUGAUAUCGGAUCAGGGCCACAGAUAUGUUUUGGAAAACUCUUGGAGGCCUUGAACAACUAUGUAUGUAAAUGCUGGGAUGAAAUGUGGCCCUAACCUCUCAUUGGGAGUAGGGAAAGAUAAUAAUUUCUAAUAGAUAUUGCAAGUCAAGGCAUUUCCGGGUUUGUUCAGGCCAUUUUACUCUCAUGCAAAUGUUUUGUCUGUUUUCUAUGUAAAGAACAGCAAUGACAAGGAGGCCAAUGGUGACAUCUCAGAAUCCAAUCAGAAAACCUGCAUAAAGAUGAAAGGUCUUACCAACAAGAAAAAAGAAGAGUCAGCUGAAAUGACAAAGUAGCAGAAGUCUCUUUUCCACAUACUGAAAUGGCUGAAUAAGCUACACAGAGCAGAAAUGACUUUCCUGCCUGCGAUUUGCAGAGUCCCAGGACAGCAGCUCACACCUGGGGGCGACAGAGCUGUGGCAGUCUGUCAUCUUUGAGCUAUUUUCUCUAUGCACCGAGAAGGAGAGCGGUGAUGCUGCCUUCUGUCUAUGACAGGAAUUGUUUGAAUUAUUUACAAUGAACGGAAAGACAGCUGGGGGGAGAGGAUGGAGAGGCUGGUGCAAUUCUAUAGACAUUGAUCCUGCCGGGAAAAAGAGCAAACUGACUUGCAAUACAAAUGGCGGUGUUGCAAAUGUGAAAGGAAGACCAUUUUCCAAUGUCACUUUCACAAGCUAAAAGAAGUCUCCAUACGUAUUAUGCAUAAGUGAAUGCACAUAGGUGUCCCAGAAGUUCAAGAUGGUUCCUUGUUUUCUUCGUUUCCUACUUAGUUCUCUUUCCAAUGGAAGCUGUGCAGUGGACUUUGAUCUUUUGCAAGAUUUCUCUUCCUGAAGAAAGGUGCCGGUUUAUUACCAAACCGCUUGUAAGAACAGAUCAAAGGCAGAGGAAGAGUGGGGGCUGCAGUCUGGCCAGCUGCUGUGAUGUUCUACAGAAAAUCAAGGACGAUAUCCACAGGACCUGCGAUGUAUCAAGCCAGCUCUUAGUAACAGAGGAAGGCCAAGAGUAGUUGACAAUAAGACUGUAAAGAAACAGUUAUGCUGGUGACACUUCUUAUAUGAGGACUGCCUUCCUAUUUUUCCACAAACGUAUUCCUGUUAUACAGUUUUUUGUUCUUUUAAUUAAGCACUGCAGGAGAAAAUAAUGGGAUCUUAAAGCCUCAUGUAUUUUGGAAAAGGUAGUAGUAAAUUGUACAGUUUUGACCUUUUCAGCUUUUUGUAAUUUGAUUGGCUGUCUGUUCUUUUUCCUCCACUAUUUACAGCUGCAGUGAACUGUGCAGAAGGGGUAGGAUGGCUAGCCAGCUCAAAUGCAGAAUAUUUAAAAGGUUAAAAUGUGCAACAUACUGGUGCCUUCCACAGAGUGUAUGGGCAUUAUAAAUUUCGUUGCGUUGAUCACAUAAAGGAUUGAGAAAUUAAAUGACUUCAUGAAUCAUUUUUUGUGGGACAACAAAUGUGACCAAAAUGGGGAAAAAUGGUAUCACUUUGACCCCAGAUCUGGGAAGCAUAUUUUUUUGUAUGUUUAUUAUUUCUGCUGCGGUAAUAAGUGAAGACCCCCUCUGAAGCACAGCAUCAUUUUAGCAGGCACUGAAUAUGUACAAGUGAGACAAAGACAAGCCCUGCCCCAGAAAGCGUGC
ensembl:lncRNA